UCGGUGUGAUCAGAGCAGUUGCCCAUCAGAUAAUUGGUCAGUUGUUUACACCACACCGUACAGCAAGUAUACUCUGCUAAAUAU